GUGUAUAUAUAUGUGUGUGUGUAUGUGUGUGUAUACACACACACACACACACACACACAUAUACAUACACACUA